rnacentral:rRNA from 1 species
AUUGAACGCUGGUGGCAUGCUUUACACAUGCAAGUCGGACGGCAGCACAGAGAAGCUUGCUUCUUGGGUGGCGAGUGGCGAACGGGUGAGUAAUAUAUCGGAACGUACCGAGUAAUGGGGGAUAACUAAUCGAAAGAUUAGCUAAUACCGCAUAUUCUCUGAGGAGGAAAGCAGGGGACCUUCGGGCCUUGCGUUAUUCGAGCGGCCGAUAUCCGAUUAGCUAGUUGGUGGGGUAAAGGCCUACCAAGGCGACGAUCAGUAGCGGGUCUGAGAGGAUGAUCCGCCACACUGGGACUGAGACACGGCCCAGACUCCUACGGGAGGCAGCAGUGGGGAAUUUUGGACAAUGGGCGCAAGCCUGAUCCAGCCAUGCCGCGUGUCUGAAGAAGGCCUUCGGGUUGUAAAGGACUUUUGUCAGGGAAGAAAAGGCUGUUGCUAAUAUCGACAGCUGAUGACGGUACCUGAAGAAUAAGCACCGGCUAACUACGUGCCAGCAGCCGCGGUAAUACGUAGGGUGCGAGCGUUAAUCGGAAUUACUGGGCGUAAAGCGAGCGCAGACGGUUACUUAAGCAGGAUGUGAAAUCCCCGGGCUCAACCUGGGAACUGCGUUCUGAACUGGGUGACUAGAGUGUGUCAGAGGGAGGUAGAAUUCCACGUGUAGCAGUGAAAUGCGUAGAGAUGUGGAGGAAUACCGAUGGCGAAGGCAGCCUCCUGGGAUAACACUGACGUUCAUGCUCGAAAGCGUGGGUAGCAAACAGG